AUAAACUCGUUUUUGAAAAAUGUAUAAAACAGCGGAUGAAUACUUAGAGAAUAAAAAUUAAAGUUCAGUACAAGACUUGUUGCAUCGAUAUAGUAUCAAAAGCUACAUCAACUUUGAAAAAGGUUUGUAACCUCUGCUUAAGAUAACUUUGUCAAUUUACAGAUAUUAGCCGCACACUGGAAAGUUUACAAUCAUUGCAUAAAGGUUUUCAACCAUAACUCAAAAGUUUAGUACUUUACUCAAAAGUUUAAACCAUUAAAAGGAUAGUUCGAAAUCUACAAAAAAUGUGCUUCAUAAGGGUUGUUUUAUACAAAACUGGUUCAAACCAACUUGAGGAUUUUAGCCAUCCUGACGAUGAAGAGCCAACUGGAGACGAUGACGAAAUUACUAUAUAAAAACUGAAUAUAUUACUUGUAAAUAAUUAUUAAACAAAGUAAAGACAUUUUAGCGCAAUUACUUAAAAAAUAACAAAGAUAAAAAUAAA